rnacentral:lncRNA from 1 species
UUGGCAUAUCAUCAUCUGAUGAAAGUGCAGCACUGCCGCUGUUUCCACACUAAGAAUACUCAUAACCUAUCCCAACCUGAGUGGAUAUAUAAAUUCAGAGGGAAAAUCACAAACUACACUAUACCGAUACAGCUAGAUAUCAAGAUUCUCAGGACACAAUGUCUAAACUAAAUUACCCAACAAAAAGUUUGAAUCAUGAAUAGAAUAUAGUUAACAUAACCCCCCGUGCAAACGGUCAUCACGUAUCAGCUAGUAAGAAAGGAGGGAACAAAUCUUGAUUAACAGAACAAUGGAGCACCAUCUUUAGAGAUUGUACAAACUGUAAAAAAAAAAGAAAUCGGUCAGAGUAAAAAAACAUGACUGGAUAUAUAUACAGCUGGAUAUCAAGAUUCUCUGGAGAAAUGCUUAAACUAAAAUACUAAUAAAAAACGAAUCAUGGGCCAUUCAAAAACAACUUCAUAUAGAUAUAUACCCAACAAAGAGUUUGAAUCAUGAAUAUGCAACGCACAUCGCUAACAUGACCCACCAUGCAAACGAUCAUCAUAAAUACCUUUGGAACCCACAACUCAACAUAAAGAUGACAAAGACAAACAUGUAUACCAAAUAGCAUCUGAAAACAUAUCAGGGAAGAUAAUUUUCUGGCAGAACCAAGCAUGCGUAUGAAACUAUCUAAAUAUAUGUGCUAAACAGCCACUGGAAACAUUGCUAUAGAACAGACCGGAUAAAGCAAUUUCCACACAGAACAAUCCAUGCAUGUUUGCACAACCAAUCAAACACAUGUAUAGCAUAGAUACUGACAAACAAUUAGUCUAGAAAGAUUAACUAUGCCGGAGCAAGUUGAUCAUGAAACUCCAUACCAAGACAUCUCCAGAUUUUUCCGGAAAUGAGAGUUCAGUAAGCUACUACCUUCAGCCUCCUAACUGAUUUGAGAGCAGCAUUUAUUAGUUUUUACAAACUUGAAAAAAAAACAUUAGGCACAUUUGAAUAAACAUUCAAGAGAAGGGAACUGCAAAACGAAAUUCAGUAAACAGAAACGUCGCUAUAGCUCAUGACUAAAUUGACUCUCUUUCAGCAAAAAGUAGGAAAGUGUAACCACCUUAGUAAAAAAAUAGAAUGAGCAUGCUACCAUGCCCUCGCGCAGGUUCAAGCUACAUUCGAAGAAGGGACGUCUAUUGAACAAAAACUGGGUCGAUAGUAUUUUGCAAUAGCUAACUAUGCAACUUUUCUCCACAAAUAUGAGAUAAUUUAAAUGGCAGGAUCAUGUUUGUUUUCCCCUUAUUUUCAGUUGGAUUGUAAUAACUCAGCAGCAAAGAGUACACCACCGUGGUUUAGUCUACCAAUCUGAUUCAAUUCAAGAAUGGGUAGCCUAUUCUCUUGUAUAUGUCAGUAAGCUCUUUUUUGUACUCAAGUCAAAACUAAGCAUAAAUAGCUACUCACCUACAUAAGUUGCUGUUGCACAUGCCCAUGUAUUUGGUGCGAGUUGAGGCCUCCUUUAAGUAACAUUAUGACCACUCUUCAUACCUACAAACACCAUCAAAGUAUGAAGUCAAAGCGAGGUGGAACCGUGUAAGGACUAAAGAAAGGCAAAGUGUCCGAUUCAUAAGCAAAGAGAGCAAGAGACCGAACUUUCAGAACAUUUAGGUUUAUUAGUAAGGAAAUAGUGGUAACAUUUUCUUAGUAAUUAAGCUCGAUGGAAAUAAAGGUACUUUUCAUGUAUGACGCCCAAAAAAAGUUUAAACAUCUUUUCCUUUUGCUGUACCAUGACCAUACCACAAUGUGAGCUGCAGACAGGGAAAAGUUCAGAUCCAAAAUCAUAUCUAAUAGAUAUGUUUGUACAUUAAGGAAAAGAAAAACAUUACUGGUAGCAUUCUGCAAAAACACAUUAAGAAAUGGAGCUUUUGGACCAGUGAAUUACACUGGUAUUCUCAAAAUACCACAUGUACAAUCUCACUGGUGAGAACCAGUGCAAGAUUAAGAAAUUAUCUAAGUCUAUAAGCUUUUUAUGAAUGAUGCUAGACUUAUUUUUUUAUUGCAAGAAUCAAUGCUAGCAGGCUGUUUCGUAGAGUUACUCAGCGGAAGAUGCCACAACCAAUAGAAAUUGGCAGUAGAUUUCAUCUAUGCCUGCUGCUCCAUCCUGCAGUAAUUAUUUAGAACAACAAAUAAGAUGAUUGUCAGAUUAGAGAAGGCACACUUCUUGCAUAAAAAAGAGAAGGCCACACUAAAGAAGCACGUUCCUAGUAUGUAUCUAUAAACAUAGAUAUGCUACUGAUAAAUAUAACUGAACUAUUUCCCAUAGGAAAAGGAAAACAUGCAUGUGGCUAGAAAGAAUAAGCAUGUAGCUAGAAAGAAAGGAAGCAAACAUCAAGUAGCAGGACAUAGUUACAGCAAAGUAGGAGCUCAAGAUGCAGCAACAAAGGAGAUCCUAGAACCAGCUAAAUAAACAGAGAUGAAGUAGUCAAAGCACACGCAUGAUGUGGAUCGGUGCACAGAGGUAAAAGAAUAGUCAUCCACAGACAAGCAAAAGAGCAAUCCAUUUACCCGAACUGGAAAGGAGAAGUAGGCUAGAUAAGGAGGAAAGACGGACCAUAAGGCCAAGGAUGAACAACAAGCAAAAUGAACUGAACGCAAAAAAGGUUAACAAAUAUGCAUUUCAUCAAACAUCUUGCAGAAAAGAAAAUGGAGCGUGGUGUCACCUCAAUUAAUCGCCGAAGGAAGAACGGAUGGCAAGAUAAUCAACCUACACACGAUGCGGACAGAAGGAAGAACACGAAAUCAGCAGGGCAUAGAAAAAAUAAGGGUACACGACAAGAUCAGGAAAGGAGAACGAAUCUCAACCAAUAGUCCCGUCCAGAGUAUGGACGACAUUGCAGCCGACGAGAGCACCACCGGUGAAGGAGAGGAAAUCCAAUCGAAGAGAGAGAGAGAGAGCGCAACACAACGAGGAGGAGAAAGAGAGCAAAGCGGUCAAAGCGAGAGCGCGGCCGAC